AUGGUGGGCACUCUAAGGAGACUGCCGGUGACAAACCGGAGGAAGGUGGGGAUGACGUCAAGUCAUCAUGGCCCUUACGGCCUGGGCUACACACGUGCUACAAUGGUCGGUACAAAGGGUUGCCAAGCCGCGAGGUGGAGCUAAUCCCAUAAAACCGAUCGUAGUCCGGAUCGCAGUCUGCAACUCGACUGCGUGAAGUCGGAAUCGCUAGUAAUCGUGGAUCAGACAAGCCGCGGUGAAUACGUUCCCGGGCCUU
rnacentral:rRNA from 1 species